rnacentral:lncRNA from 1 species
AAAUAUUUGUUUACAUAAAUAGCUGCAAUAAAAUUUUCUAAAGUGCAAAAAAAACAUAAAUGAUUAAUUUGUUUAAAAGUUUUGUUUAAAGCCAUAUAUAAUGUAUGUAUCAAAAAAAUAAUUCAGUUUAUUCUUGGCACAAGCCGAAGACGAUAAGUAAUAGAGAGACAUAGUAAACCAAAGAGGUCAAUGACAUUUUACUAAUAACACAAAAUAAAAAGAUGAAAAUCGAUGUUUAGAGAAACUCAAA